AUUCUCAGGAUGAUGGAGUGAGUGAUGGAAUAGGUUGCCAACUGUAGUUACUCCACUCAGCACAGAAUGGCUGCGGGGAAAUAUAAUCAGACAUGCCCAAAGAAGUCUGCUUAGGGUGAAACAAAUACCUUUGAGGUUUAAAUCAGAAAGGAAGGAGAGACUGUUUCUACAGGUGUCAUACAAAAAUCAAUACUGAGCCAAGGAUUAUUGGAUCCCAUAGAAGCACGGAGACUUGGCAGUGAAAUUCUUCCAAAGGCAGAUGGUGUUCCUAGGUUUGGAAAUAUAAAUCCCAUGGGAAGUCAGGUGAAGACCAUUUUAUGCAUCACUCAUCCUAUUACGAGCCCUGUGCUGUUCUGUCUCUCUAUAAGACUGGCUGAAACCACAACGGUUGUUUACAAUUUAUGCUCUAACUUUGGAUCACCUAGUUAAUACUCUGACUCUGAUUAUUACCAAAGACAAUGUUCUAUAAAAGAUAUUCUCUAUUAGAAGGAUGCUUCUGCAUUAUUAAUAAAAUCACAGGGAAAAUGCAACAUUUUUGAUGUCACAUCUGAUAAGUUGGCAGUUAAAGAACAGAAACACAGCAAUAAGACUGCGUGGCUACAUUUUCCCAGUGCCACCAACUGGGAGUUAAGCUGACUAACAUUUUGAAAGCCCAGCCCAUUUCAUUCACAGCAGGAUGGCAGUGGGUGACUGAUCGUACCCGCCAGCUGGCUAAUGUCAUAAUUAACAAAGUGCUACUACAUCUGCAAAGUUUAAUCAAAAAAUUUGCCAGUGAUAUGAUGGCAAUGUCACAGAGAUCACAAGGAACACAGAGUCGACUUUUGCUCAAGGUGGAACGACAGCUGUGUAGGCAGAUGAGAAAUUGCGAACUUGUUCGGCCAAAGGAGGCUAAUAAUGAAGGGGCCGGGAAGGAGGCCAGUGCUACCAGGGUUAUCUCACAACCUCAGUUGCUGGAUAAGUCGACGGAGGCAAAAUCGCUUUGGGAUGACAUUCAGAAAGGCUGGAGUGAUUACUUGGAAGAGAAAAGCCUACCUAUUCUUUCCAAG
rnacentral:lncRNA from 1 species